rnacentral:lncRNA from 1 species
UGAUUCUAAGCUUUUCACCGUCGAUCUACCCUAAUGUGGCGGCUGGCUGGUUCUCAUCACCAUCGUUCCCGAAGCUUUUAUUGGAGCAUUGACUGGCCAGGGGUGGAGCUUGCAUGCAUGCAAAAACACGAAAACCAAAACUUAAUCAAAUUAAGGCUUUCUUUUUACAGCAGCACAGAAAUGUAACUUCUUGAUAUAGUACUAUAUAUAACAAGAUUAAUGCAUUAGUUUAAUUCUACGAUCUUCACAAAGAAGACAAUAUUAUAAUCCUAGCCUGGUCUUCCUAGAUAUAUAUAUGUAUGUUACUAACAAAUAUACAAGUGCUGUCAUAUAUCUCGUCCCAACGUACCUAGCUAUGCCACUGCCUAAGACAGACAUUCCUGUUGACGUUUCGUUGAUCAGUCAUUAUACAAAAACAAAACACAAAAAAAGCAAAAAAUUAAAAAAAAAAUUGCUAGCUAUUUACCUGAUCAUUCACAAGAAAGGUAUCUAACCUGAAGACAUGACACGCAUCUCUUACCACACAUAAUAAGUAGCUAGCUAGGCACCCUGCACCCUAAUUUGGUCAUAUAUAUGUUUACAAGUAAGAUCUCCACUACUCUAGGAUGAAACUACUUAAGAAAGAAAUUCUCAAAAUUAACCAAUCGUUAAUUAAUGCGUACUACUCAAACUAGAUAUGCAUGCUCUUGCAAAAACCAGAAAUACAUUUUUAUGUAUAUAUAUGUGUGUGGAUCAUGUGUAUUCCGUUUAUUGGAAUGAAACUAAUACAUGGUAAACAAAGAAGUUCAUGUUUUUUUCCUUUUAAUUACUUCAUUUCACAGGCUUCAGCAUCAUUAUGGAAAAUAUCUAAGUCUUCGGGCAGGUUGAUGGGCUUUCUCAACUUUACAGAUCAAUGGAAGUUCAAACGCGCGCCAAAUGCUUUUAUUUUGUUAUAGUCCCUUUCUCAGCAAUGGAUACCAUCAUUUUAUAUUUUAAAGUUCGAUCAUGAACGAAUAUUAUUAAAAUUAUUUUAUUCUUUGAAAUUCUUCAAUUAUUUGGAUGCUCCAGAAGAGUGUAAAUCAUCUGCAGAUUUGUUUCAUAAAUAGAAUAGGUAUAUAUAAAGUUGUAAGAAUUAUAUUUGCAUCAAAAAUAUAUGACCUAAAUAUGCAGCAAACUUAGGUAUUCUAGUUCUACUGCAAUUUUCUAUCAACCUCAUUGAUUAAAAUAAAUAAAUUCGAUAGAUUGGACUUGAUUUUUUCUCUCCAUCCUUUUUUCUUUCUUGUUUUUUUUCUUUCUCAACUUCUUUCUUUCUAGACAAUUAGUACAGAAGGUAAUUAACAAAAAAUCGAAAGAGUGUUGCAGUAUAAUUAAUCAAAGAGUAAGCAAGAUGAACUAAUAUAAGAAUUUUUAUUAGUAGUAUAAUUUCUAUCUCCAACACCUGGUAAUGAAAUAUGAAUUACAGAAAGACCCCAUCAUAUAUGUAUAUAGAUAAUCUAUGCAUGUGAGUAUUCACUCACAUUAUUGAAAACUGCCUUCUUACUUUAGGCAGUAGCUAGUAAACACAGAGAGAUAGCAAACCCUUACAAACCCUAACCUAAUUGGCAUAUAUCAUGAAACAUACUUCAUCAUUCCCCUUAAUUAUACACAUCAUACAUACAUAUAUGUAUAUAUAUAUAUUCAUAGAUAUCCAUAUGGCAGAUCGAAUAAUCCUUGCAAUUAAGUACUAUAACCUGCUGGGAGUAAUUCAGUCCCUUAUUCAUAUGGUCAAACCCAAAUCUAUUAUAUAUAAUUAAUGAUAGAUAACUUAAUAAUUGAGUAGGAGAAAUUCAUAAUUUAGUCACGGCUCAUGAUCACUUAUCUCCAAACAAAUAGCCAAGAGAUGAAUCUCCACCAGNN